ACGUUUCCUGUGGAACAAUAGAUAGCAGCCAGUAUUAACUGAACUCAAACAGGCUGUAAGGGACACCGUGGGGACAUUUGGGACAGCGGCGCCUUGGGAGUUGCUAUAAAAGGUACCCGAAUCCGACUGUUAAAGGAGACCCAUAUUAAGAGUGCAACAUGUGUCCAUGUGGAGUGAGCGUGGAGAGAUCCCGUCCAAACUUCUCUCAUGCUGCUGGAGUACUGGUAGGAAACAUAAUGGACUGGAAAGAACAGUGGCGGCUCAGAUCACUCUUCUAAUAUGACUGAUCUCAGCAAAUACAUUGCCACUGUUGCUAAGAAUAAUUCCCCACAGAGUGGACGCCUGCAACUUGGUUGGAAUCCCUGUUUGGAAGUUGGGGAUCCCAAAUUACCAAAUGGGCUGCGGCAUAUGUUUUCUUUCUUAGUUUGCCUAAUUGUGUUAUUUAACUUGCUGUGCAUGUGUGUGUAUUUUAUAUGAAUUCACUCCUGUUAAUAGCAGUAUAACCUCUAUUAUGAUGAUAGUAUUACCAUACUAAUUAGAUUGUAUAACCCAGAAUGAAGGGUUUUAAAUGAUGAAGUGUCUGGUUUUAUGUGUGGAUUUCCCUUUAACAGAAGUAUAGUACCUUUUGAGAGAAGCUAUAAUCUAAUGCUUACCUUAAAAUAUAAUGAUAAUCAUCACAGAUUGACUGGUAAGAGGGAAUGUGAUGGAGCAUUUUAUGUUUGCUUUUCUAAUAACCAAUUUCUGUGUUCAUGCUAGUGAAUGAUUGAACAAAUCCUCAAUAUCAGGAUCUACAAAUGUGCAAUUUGGUAGUUCGCCCCAAUAUCUCAGUUUCAAAGUCUCAGCCUAGAGAGAAGAAGCCUCAUGAGGUAUUGUUCGGUCACAUGAAUGAAGCAAACGUUAAUGAUUAAUUAAUUAUGAAUGAUGAAUAAGCUAAAUCAUGCAAAUAUAACAUGUCUGCAGUAUAUAAGAGAACUAAAGGGACUGUCCCGGAAGAGCUCCUGAUCGACAUGUGUACUUGAUGCAUUGAGUUGGUUGGAACCAGUGCUAAUAAUAACAAAUUAUUAAUUUAAGAUUGACUUUGGGUGACCCUGUGUAGAAUUUCUACGACAGAGGCAUUACAGAAAGUACUUUUACUAGAUUAAACUAUGGAAACUCCAUACAUAACAUUGUUUAAUGCAAGAACUACUAGCAUAGUAAUCAAAUCUGCCUCAAUAACUAUUUAUUUUGAAUGAGGAUGGGAAUUAAGAUUCUAAUAGCCUACUUUUUUAUCACAGUCAGAACUAAUACUUACAUAUGAGUGUGCCACAAAUGCACUGGCUGGCUAGGCUACCUGGACCUUUUCAUUCCAAAUUAUUGACUGAAAGUGAUGACGAAUUAUCAACAAAGUGAUGACAUAUAAGGUGUGAAUAACGUUUUAAUUACAGGUGCAUACUAGACGAAGCACUCUGCAUAAAGCAAGCUGAGACAUAUUUGUUCUAUGGUCCAAUUGCAGUUGGUCUCUGUGUUUCCUUCAGAAUCAGCCUGAAUAAGAAUUGUUCCACUGCGCCAGAGUAGAGAGAGGAAUGAAAUACACCUUCACUCUACAUUUUCACUGAGUUUACACCUUCACAUUUCAAAUUCAUUCCAUGUUUGCUUCAUGCAUUAUAUCAUCCUGUCAAAUAAAGGGAAUGUUGUACA